GGAACCUUCCAUGAGCCAGGCAGCGUGAAGGACUGGGGAGGCAACAGUGAGCAACACGAAAUGUUCCCUCUCUUCACAGAGCUUGGAUCUCGAUGAUGAUAGCAGCUCAUCUUUAUAGAACACUGAGUGUUCUGCACUUUACAUGGUGCAUCUCAUGUCAUCCUCAAAAACGGGUGCUUCCUUAUGUGUGCUUUCUUCAUGAGUAUUCUCCAGCAACACCUGCCCUCAGUCCCUUUCUCCAGACCCCGGCCCUGUUGACCAAGCUUGGUGCUUCCCUGUGUGGCCCACGGUGGCGUGGUGUGGCCCGUCUCCUUGGGAACUUACACUCAAGCAGGGCCACUAGGCCUCAAGAGAGUAUACCGAAAACUGGAAAAUGACCUUCUUGUCCUCUCUCUGCACUCUUCCUUCACAAGUGAGGGUUUCUGUGAUCACCACCUCUGCUGUUACCUUGGAGACCAGAGAAUAAAUAGAUUCCAAAUGCAGGUGGUGUCUUAUCCAAAUGAAGAUGCAACUUACAUUCUUCUUGAAAGACAAGGACAAUUCUCAAAGCAUCUUCUGAGGGCAGAGGACAACUGACACUUUGUACGGAUGCUGCGGAGACCAUCCUGAGCUGCUUGGCGCUGCCUGUGUGGAGACAGAUAACGAGCUCCAAUACUUUGGCCACCUGAUGUGAAAAACUGACUCACUGGAAAAGACCCUGAUGCUGGGAAAGAUUGAAGGCAGGAGGAGAAGGGGACAACAGAGGAUGAGAUGGUUGGAUGGCAUCACCGACUCGAUGAACAUGAGUUUGAGCAAACUCCAGGAGCUGGUGAUGGACAGGGAAGCCUGGCAUGCUGUGGUCCAUGGGGUCGCAAAGAGUCGGACACAACUGAGCAGCUGAACUGAACUGAACUGAAGAGACUAUACAAUAAACCUGUAUGUCUCCACUGUGAACUACCAGAGUGGAAUUCUAUCAUCACUUUUAUUUUGGUUUGGAGCUGGCUGGCAGAACUCAAAACUCUUGGGGUAGCUUUUAGGAUUAUUUCUCAGCUGGACAGGUUCAUACAUGAAUCCCAGAGAAUGGUGACAUUCUUCUUUGGAAAGCAUUGGGUAGUACAGGAAUUCUCAUCUCUACAAUCAAAAGGCAUCAAAAAUAAAUUUGGAUUUAAAAAAAAAAAGGGUCAUUGUAGAGGGUCUCAGAUUCACACUGGUUCAUCGGAUGAAUUAUAGUUAUGUCAUCCGUGUCGGUAACUCUGUGUUAGAAAGCAGUCAAUGCAAUAUCUGCAGUACAAAUUACAGACUUUGAUCCCAAUGAGCCCGUUAGAACAGAGAACUAGGUUUGCUCUUUUUAUUUUAUAUCUCCAAAUGUUUCAGAGUGAAGAGAUGAGAAAGUGCAUUGAAUCCUUCUGUUCCCUCUUUAUCCGUCUCUAAAUGGGAUCUUAGGACUGCGUGUGCUUACCUCGCCUUUUAUCCAGCCUGCAGCGAGGCUCAUCUGCAAGCAAAAAUUACCUUGCCCAAGUAUUCUUAGGAGAAAUAAUUAGCCACAAGCCCCUCCUCCGCACACUCUCCCACAUUCCUCGGGAGGCCCAGAUGCCUGACAUAAAUCAUUUAGUCCUGAGCCCUCGCAUACACCUUUCCCACUGGAUUCCAUAAUUGGCAAAGUAGUUGCCAACUGGGUUUAAAGUGAUUUGAAAUUGUUUUCCAUCCAGUCUUGCUGAUAGCAAAAGGUUUCCCCUUUACC
ensembl:lncRNA